rnacentral:rRNA from 1 species
CUACGGGAUGCACCAGUGGGGAAUCUUAGACAAUGGGCGCAAGCCUGAUCUAGCCAUGCCGCGUGAGUGACGAAGGCCUUAGGGUCGUAAAGCUCUUUCGCUGGGGAAGAUAAUGACGGUACCCAGUAAAGAAACCCCGGCUAACUCCGUGCCAGCAGCCGCGGUAAUACGGAGGGGGUUAGCGUUGUUCGGAAUUACUGGGCGUAAAGCGCGCGUAGGCGGAUCAGAAAGUUGGGGGUGAAAUCCCGGGGCUCAACCCCGGAACUGCCUUCAAAACUCCUGGUCUUGAGUUCGAGAGAGGUGAGUGGAAUUCCGAGUGUAGAGGUGAAAUUCGUAGAUAUUCGGAGGAACACCAGUGGCGAAGGCGGCUCACUGGCUCGAUACUGACGCUGAGGUGCGAAAGCGUGGGGAGCAAACAGGAUUAGAUACCCCCGUAGUC